UCCAGUUUGCUUUGCUGUUCCUGGGCCUC
rnacentral:piRNA from 1 species